rnacentral:rRNA from 1 species
CAGUAGCCGCGGUAAUACGAAGGGGGCUAGCGUUGCUCGGAAUGACUGGGCGUAAAGGGCGCGUAGGCGGAUGGCACAGUCAGAUGUGAAAUUCCCGGGCUUAACCCGGGGGCUGCAUUUGAUACGUGUUGUCUAGAGUGAGGAAGAGGGUCGUGGAAUUCCCAGUGUAGAGGUGAAAUUCGUAGAUAUUGGGAAGAACACCGGUGGCGAAGGCGGCGACCUGGUCCUUGACUGACGCUGAGGCGCGAAAGCGUGGGGAGCAAGCAGGAUUAGAUACCCCCGUAGUCCCUGUCUCUUAUAA